GUCUGUGGCCAUACCACCCUGAAUGCACUGACCUCGUCUGAUGUCGGAAGCUAAGCAAGGUCGGGCUUGGUUAGUACUUGGAUGGGAGAAGUUGAACAGUGCACAAC
rnacentral:rRNA from 1 species